CAUAGACAGUUCACAUACCCUACUGUCCGCCCGGGAACUACGAGCAUCAGCUUAAAACCCAAAGGACUUGGCGGUGCUUUACACCCACCUAGAGGAGCCUGUUCUAGAACCGAUAAUCCCCGUUCAACCUCACCCUUCCUUGUUCUUUCCGCCUAUAUACCGCCGUCGUCAGUUUACCCUAUGAAGGCCUAAUAGUAAGCAAAAUCGGUACUACCCAAAACGUCAGGUCGAGGUGUAGCGUAUGGAAGGGGAAGAAAUGGGCUACAUUCCCUACUAUAGGGCAUACGAAUGAUUUCGCUGAAAUGCAUUUCUGAAGGAGGAUUUAGCAGUAAGCAGGAA
rnacentral:rRNA from 1 species